CAUUAGCUGUAUCAAUGUACUAAUGGCUCGCUUUUGCAGUUGACAUCGCAAAAGCCUCGGUAUUCUAUUUGAAAAAUGCGUACUUUUUCUAAAAUUGUUAUUGCUCAGUGUUCUUAACAAAAUCUACCAAAGUUGCAAUUAACAUAAAAUGAUAUAUGUAGAUCUUAUGAUCAUUUUAAUUUGCGGAUAUAUUUCGUGUGCAUAAGGAGACAAAAUACAGUUGCUUUUAGCAUUCCUUCUUCAAUGGUAAGUUCGUGUAUAAGUAUACAGGAAAAAACGCAUUCCAACCCUACUCUUUGCGCAUAUGUUUAAUGUUUAAGGGAUCUGGCACCAUGGUUUUCACUUUCAGUGAGAUUUCAAUGAAAUUCACUGAAUUUCAUUAAUUUCAGCAGUCAUUGAAAUAUUUACCUUUUGGCCGGAAUAUUUCAGCCAUUUCAGUAGUACACAUGAAUUCAAAUAUUUCAAAAAUAAUUUCAAAACAUUGUUUAAUUGAAUUCAAGUGAAUAUUUUGGCCUUUUGGCAAAUGCAAACCGAUAUAACUGGAACUCAUUGAAUUUCAGUUGGUGCUGAAUGUUUCUCUGAAACUGAAAGUGAAAACCUUGUCUAGCAUUGUGGCACAUCAUAUGAAUGAUUUUGUGUAUUGUUUUACUUGGUGGACUUUCUGGUGUUGCCUGCUGAAGCUACAUGGCUGUGCCCUGCAGCACAAUGCUUGGAACAAUUGUAAAAGGUCACUGCCAUUGUAUACACAAAUUUAUUCCCAUAUUCUGGACAUAUAAAGUACAGUGGCAUCAUUUCAUGAAUGUGGAACCAGAUUGCCCCAAACUGAUUUUUUCAUAAAUUUUAAUUUAUUGGUGUAAAAUAUGGAGUGCGUCAUUAUUUUGUAAUAUCAGGUUUAUUCAUAUAAAUCUCUUGACUCUGAUUUUACUUUGCCUUGCCAUUUCAACCUGUCUAGGCUGUGGAGCUCUAGAUGUAGAAGCUCCCCUACGCCCACCCUUUUAGGCGCAGCCGCUUGCCGCUGCGAACAUCAAUGAUUCCAGUGACGACCAACUAUUUGGUGAAAUGUCAGAACAGCCGAAGAUCUCAUUUAUGAUGAAAGGUGAGAAUUUUACCAAAGGGUGAUGAAGAAACAUGCUUUACCAUGUCCUCUAAUCAGUUCUGGAGAUAUUGCUAUGCUCCAAAAGGAAGCUCCUGUCCUGGGCUACAACUUACUGGCACAUCCAGUCGAUGAACUGAUACUACAAACUCACGAUUGAAAUCGCUGUGGUAAAUUGACCUAUGACUGGUGAUAUAUGGGAUGCAAAGUUUGCUGGAAGAAGCUGAAAAUGGCGCAUUGAAAUGUCCUACAUGUUCCAAUCCAGAACCAUGACCAAGGUACAAAAUAGCAGUGCUUGCAAUAGACAUGGAACAUGAGGAGGAACCAAACCCAGUAUUCACAGAGUUUGCCUUUUUUAGAGCACGAGGAGAUAUAAUCACUGGAAGAAGCGCAAACUCGGCUGUAGCUCAUGGAAAAGGACGAGUUGGUUAGCUGGCACUGGAAAUAGAGGACUUUCUGGAACAAAAAUAUUGUGAGCGGUCACUACAAAUAGUAGAUCCCUGGGCUGAUUUUUAUUAGUAUUUCCAAGUGCAAGCAACAGAUCAUGUGCAAAGUGAGGCACCAUUAACUCUACAUCGAAUGGUUAAUCCGCCAUCUGCAUCGGACGUUCCAUGCAGGGGCGGACCCAGAACAAAAAUGUCCCGGUGUCCAUAUGUGUACUAUACACUGGUGGAUAUAUAUAAAAAUGAAAUACACUCAACAAUUUAAAAUA